rnacentral:SRP_RNA from 6 species
UCGUGCUAAACGGGGAGAUAGCGGUGCCCUGUAACCUGCAAUCCGCUCUAGCAGGGUUGAAUUCCUACUCGAGGUUUAAUCUUUUUAAGGCUGGCUAAGGUAAGUAGUGAUGAAGAUUGGGCCCUGCGCGACAAAGAAUUGUGAACUCCGUCAGAUCUGGAAAGAAGCAGCGGUAAGCAAAUCUCUUUGGUGCCACAGGUAAACCUGAUUGGAGCAAACUGCUUUAGUAUCGCUUAGAGAGGUAAGUCGGAGGUAGGUGCACGG